UGCAUUCAGACAGGAGCAGGCUGACCAGUUCAUUUGGGCUUGGCUGCAGAGGGCCUCGGAUGCCAGCCACAGAGUUCAAGUCCAUGCAGAGGCAACAAAGUGAGAGCCUCAGCCAGGCACUGAGACCACCUAGCUAACUUCCCUGGACUACUCUUCCUCCUGAGACCUAAAUCCCACGGACUUUCAGCCCUCUCAGCAUCCCAUCUCCUGGGGGUCUGCCAGGCAGAGCUGUGACCCACCUUUCUGGAGAGGCCUGGAAGUUGGUGUCAGCUUCUCUGGAAUGUUCUGGGCUGCUGACAGCUGUCCAUGCUCCCACUUCCUGUCCUGCGCUGAAGACUCGUGGGCCCUCCGAGCAGACAAGGCCCCUGAAAUCAUCUGGAACGAGGCCCUCACUCCCUCACAGGUAGAAGCCUGAGGACAAAGAGAAUGCCGGCCUAUUGAAGGCACAGGCUGAUUUCGUCUGCAGCUGCAACUUCAGUCUUGGACUCUGCCCGGCAUGUGGUGGACGCUCAGCAGAGAUCUGUUCAAGCGAACUCGGUGUGGUGUCAGAGACUAGAAGCGAUUUCAGUCUUGAUGGAGCCGCACUUUAAACCCACGCCAACAGGGUUCCCAUUCUGGCGUGGCCCCUGACCUGCUGUGUGAUCUUGGACAAGCUGCCUAGCAUCUCCGGGGCACGGCUCUGCACACAUGUGCUGGGGCACCAUGCUCAGGGCCUGAUUCCCAAGCUUCAUGCCAAAUAUCCACAUUCAGGUGAAGAAAACGAGGAUCAAGGUGCCAGGCUCCUGCCCAAUGCCACACAUUGAUUUGGGGCCAGGCUACUCUAAUGUUUAAAUGCAGAUCGGUCUGAUUCCAAAUCUGUAUCUCUGCCUCCUGACCCCUAUUUCUGCAUCUGUCCCCCGAGGGUCGGAGGAGAAAGUUCAGCAGGCGGGUGCUGCUCAGGCCCUUGGCCCUCAGGUGCCCCCCACCCUCCCACCACCCACAGCUGUGGAACCGCAGCCUUCCGGGAGAAUGCCAGCUGAAUGGGACGGCCACCGUUUCCGGACACGUUCUGGCCACAUGAUUAAGACUCAUUUUUCAGCAGCGACUGGCAGGUAUUUGUUCCCUUUUAAGAGGACAAUGUCAGCGGCAUGUUUAUGGUUUAAUUUUUGUUUUCUCCACUGCAACUCCCCACAAAACUACUGGAGAACACUUCAGUCUGCAUGCUGCCUCUUCUCCAAGUGACCUCACUGGCCUUUCACGGAGGCUCAGGCACAGCCACCUCUUCCAUCAGCCCGUCUAGCACCCCUCACCACCCACCCCUGUCCUCUUGAAGCUGGGCUACAGGCCCUGCAUGUCCGUCCCUGGGACGCCCAAGCCCCUGGGCCCACCACCCCAGACCUGGGCAGAGGUGACCAGGAGUGUCUUCCCUCUAAAAGGGGUGGCUUUGGGGACAGCAUAUUCGCCCGUUGUAACCGUUACUCAUUGUUGUUUACAUAACUUUUUAAUUUGAAAUCAGACUCACAAAACGUUGCAAUAUUACAAGUAUUUUGUUGCAAAAAGUACAGCAUUGAGAGUUCCCAUGCUGUACCCAGGUUCCCCUAGUGAUAAUAUGUAAAGAAACCAAAGCGCACUGUCAAAGUCAGGGAACCAACGUAGGCACAACGCGUCAGCAGAUAUACGGGCCUCACGCAGAUUGCACCAGUUUUUGCACGCUGGCCAGCUGCAUUGCUUUCAACCUCCCAGUUUAACAGUUGCCCCAGCCCCUAGUUUGGAGUCAGUGGAGUUCGGAGGUUAGUGAAGACAAGCUACAGUUCCCGGUCCUGCUCCCCUCCUCUUCCUCUUCUCCAGAAACAGCCUCUUUCAGUUCCUUCUGCCGACCAUCUGUGCUUAGCCCCUGCAGCUACAGAACGUGCUCGCAUUGUUCUGUGUUUUCAGUGGCAGGCCUUGCCCACUGCUUCCCUGCUAGAGGAGAGGCUGUUUUAAACCUCUGCCCUUCCCUCCCUGACCCACGCUCCCAUCCUUCGCAUUGUCCCCCAAAGAGCCAUAAUUUGGAGAGACUGGUGCUCAGUGUUACAACUAUUUUGAGUUCUUCAUUUGCUUAGUUUUCUGUGCACUGAUCUCUAAUUUUUUUUAAUUCAAACUCUUUGCCAAUUUUCAAAGUUUUUUUGGGACUUUCAUUCGCAUUCAACUUUCCAACAAUCUCAUCAGUUUGAAGGAGUGUUCUCUCCUGGAACCCUCUGGCAUUUCCAAACGGAACUUGGCCUCUGCAGCUGGUGUCCUGGGAUCUCCCUCCCCCAUCAGCCUAAGGACCCCUUUGCCUCUCUUCCUGCUUCCUGGACCCUCGUCUUCCUGUUUCUUGGUUCACCCCUUCGUGCUUCAGAAGUUUCCUGCGAAAGAGGAGGCAGGAGCUUCCUGAGUUUCUGUUGAGACGUUUAAAGCCAAGCUGAUUCCAUGUUUACUUCUCUGCAAGUUUGUCGACUUUUCUGUGCAGCCAACAUCCUGAAGUUUCCCACUGACCUUUCCCGAUGGAAAAUGGCUCUGUGCGCUGUGCUAAUCACUUCUGGGCUUGAGAGUCAUGGCCUGCCUUUCGGGGUCAUUUUCCUCAACUAUUUCAUUGAUAUUUUCUCCCCAUCAUUUUCUUUCUCUUCUUUUUUUUUUUGGCUAAGAUUUUAUUAAUUUAUUUUUAGAAAGAGAGGAAGGGAGGGAGAAGGAGAGAGAAACAUUAUUUUGUUGUCUACCAUGCACGUCCCAUCAGGGACCAUAGCCACAACCCAGGUAUGUGCCCUGACUGGGAAUUGAACCAGUGACCUUUUGCUUUGCAGGACAAUACCCAACCAACUAAGCCAUACCAGUCAGGGCUUCUUUCUCUUUCUAGAGCUCCUAAGAUUUAAGUAUUAAAGCGCCUGUGCCAGUCCUGUAAUUUUCUUAUCAUUUAUCUCCUCUUUUCAAUGAUAUAUUUCACUAUAUAUUCUUGAGAAGUGUCCUCCACUUCAUCUCCCAAGUCUUUGGUGGAGUUUUAUACUUUUGCUCUCAUAUUUUUUUCCGAGAGCUCUUCUUGUCCUCUGUGUUCCUUUUUUAAUGGCAUCAUGUUCUUUUUUCCUGGAUGCAUUAUUUCUGUUAUCUCUCUUUGGAUCUGAGGUUUUUAUUUUUAUUAUGUUUCUACAUCUUUAGGAUUUUUCUCUGUGCAUAUUGUCUCUCCCAAUCCCAUGGUAAAUGCAGCCCGCAGGAGCUCUCGCUGCCCCUCCCCCCACUCCGCCAGACAUUGCUAAUCAAUCACGACACUCCUCUCCACUGAACCUAGAGAAGAAUCUCCCACCUUGGCACUUCAGCUAUUCGGACAGAAUCAUUCUUGGUUGAAGACAAGGUGAGGCGUAGAAGUAGGGCCGUCCCAUGCACUUUAGGAGUUUAGCAGAGUCUCUAAAUGCUGCUAAAAGCCCUUAUUCCAGUCCUGACAGCCAAAAAUGUCUCCUGGGGGACAUUUUUGCUCCUGGUUGAGAACCACGGGCCCAGAUUCAGCCCCAGCAUCCUUGUCAACACAGCGUUCCAACAGCGACUGUCGACCUCAGCCAGCCCAGGGAACGAGACCUGUUUGGCCAGCACAGCUGGCCAUUUCAUAUAGUUCCAAAGCCUAGUACGUUAACAAUCUAAUUCAGCAAUUCUAUGACCCAACCUCAGAGCCUUCUGUCUGAGGGGGGCAGCAGACCCAAGCGGCCACUUCCUGAGAAGAGACAGAGAUCAGCAUUGGGUUGAGGGCUUCAGCCCUACUAUGUUAAGUCUUGCAUUGACAGCCAGAGACUUGGUCCCCUGGGGCUCCCAGAACCACCCAAAUGUAUCAGGGUUGGGGAAGAGCUGUUCUUUGUCUGGUCUGCAGAGUAUGGAGAGAAGAUGUGCUGGCAACCAGAUGUCAUCAGGGUCCCGACAGCUCCUGACCUUGGUUGCUGCACAGGGCCUGGGUCCCAGCUGGUAGUCAGAAUAGCCUCAGGGUGAUCAUGCCUGUCCACACGCAGGUCCUGGGCCCCAACCCGGGUCUUCUCAGUCGCCAUCUUGGAGGCAGGGGCUGGAAUCUGCCUCAUUAACCAGCUCUCUGGGUGAAAACUAGUGACAUGGGUAAAACACAAUACACAUUGACUGUUAUUCAAGUCCUGGUCAGGCUUCUUGGUGAUACACCACCCAAAUAGCUAAGAAUGACUAAGAAUGACUAAUAGGCCAAGCAGCAGGCUCAACUUGACCAUGCAUUAGCUUAGUUAAUCAAUCACUCUAUGGCCAGUUUUAUGUUUAACAUGUUUUAGAUGGGAAACAAAGAUUUGGGGGGUUGUGUUAUUCAAGAUCGCACAGCUUGGAGGUAGGUAAACCUGGGACUUGUUCCGAGUGGUCUGUUGCCACAUUCUUUGCAAUUAAUUACACUAGAUUCUAAACAGCUGAGCACAGGCUCUGGCUGCAGGGGAUGACCAACACACAGUCACGUCCUGUGUCGGCAAAGGGUUGUUUUGUUAUUGCCAGUCCUAGGAAGCAAGGAUCAUUAGCCCCACUGCAUGAAAGAAACCGAGGCUCAGAGAGCCUGGGCAACUGUUUCUAGAAAGUGGUAGAGUCAGGACUUGGGUCCAAAUCUGGGUGACGUCCAAGACUCGCUCCUCGGGCUUCCUGUGUUCAGCCCCUCGCCUGCCUGCCCUUGGGGGCGGGUAUGAUCCAUAAGCAGGUUCUCACAAAUAGGCAGGUGAGUUUGACCUUUAGUUCUGCCCCUUUGGGGAUGUUCUAAUGCCCUGCCCAGGACUUUGUCCAUAUCAUCUCCCCCUCGACCUAGAUAGCCAAAGAUACUCCGUGGCGUGGGAGUGUGUGAUUUCAGCAAAUAGGGUAAACUUUAGGGUAGAAAGUUUAGGGUGGAUUUUUCAAUUUCUCAUCAAUUCACUCAUCCAACAAAUUUCUGUAAGUGCCAACCAUGGGACAGGACUGAGGAAGCAACAGUGAAUUAAAUAACAAAGUGUACCUCCCACUGGGAUGAGACAAACUCUAAAUGGAAUACUACAUAUAUAAUUCAAAGUAAGUUGGGUUAAAGGGACAGGAGGCAGCAGAGAGGGGAUAAGGAUGGCCUCUCCUGGGAGGUGACAAUUGAUGGGAUGACCUACAGGAAGCCAGGGAGUGAGCUGCCAGGAUAUCCGGGUGGAGGCACCUCAGACGAGGCAGGCAAGGAAGUGUGUGAGAGAGGGUGGGGGUGCCCUUGCAACCUGCUGGGCUGGGGGGAAUGGGUCAUUCCUGUGGAAAUCGUCCUGGCCGAGUUCACUCCAAGUCUCUAAGACAAUAAGGGGAAAAGGAAGACGCCAGCUCUGGCCAGACCAAAAUUAGGUCGCAGCUGAGCUUUCUGCAAGGAGAGCAAAGAGACUUCCUUCCCUGGCGGCCCUGAGCACUUCUGGAGGGGAGUGAGCCAGGGCCUCCCUGCUCACCCCCGAAGCACAGGGUACUGGGGGACCUUUCAGACAUCGCAUGGGAACUGAGGCCCCGUUAUGUGGUAGGUAUUCUAUCAGGGGGUUGUACACACUGCCUCGUGGCCACCUGGGGGUAGGAAGUACUGAUUGCAUUUUACAUCCCAGGAAACUAAAAUUAACCUUGUCAGUGGAAGGUGGCAGGAAAAUAGCGUGAGCCCAAAUCUGUGCAUGUUCUCACAAUUACAUGAUGCCAAGAAGACCAAGAGCUUUAGAAGCAAUUACCCAGACCGAAAGGUGAGAAGAGCAGAACAUCCUGAGCCCUCGCUGUUUGUUCACUGCGUAGAUGGGUGAAUGCGGAGGCGGAUGGAUGGUGGAUGGAAGAUGAAGGGAUGGAAGGUGGAGGAGUGGAUGGACCAUGAGACACAAAUAAGCAAACAGGCCCUUUUCUAUAACUUUUGUGCCUAUGUUUUCAAAAAAAUGUAUGUCCCUUUUUGAGUCUCAGGGUCUCCAUCUAAAAAAUGAAACAGCUGAACUUGACCAGGUAUUUUCGGACUUUUGUUUUAGUAGUGAAAUCCUGUCUUCAGAGCUACCUAGUGGGGAAGUGAGGCAUGAGGAAAGAGUUGUUCUGCAUGGGCUGGGGAAGGAGGUGGGCAGGGCACAAGAAGCUCUGCUCCUGGGCCCACCCUCUGUUCUGUAGGAGCUCCAGAGAGGCCUCUGCAGGGCCAAGGAAGGCCUUGCACAAAGGUGAUCCCGAGCCUUCUGGUUUCAGAAAUAAGCACAGACGUAUUGGCAAGAGGUGGCAGAGGAAUGUGACGUCUUGGCCAGAUCCCUAGCCUUUCCUGCCCACAUCAGAUACCACUGCCCCGUGGGUGGGCAAGGACCUGCCUGGUAGAAACUAGCCCAGGGGAACACAGUGUCCUCUGCUUGUAGCUUCCCUGAGGAUGCGCAGGUGGGAGAAUCGGGAGUUACUUGCAACGCUGCCACGUUCUCACCCAGCUCAGGGCGCCACAGAGAGAUGCAAGUAACUGACCAACCUCUGCCAC